GUACAGAUGUGGACCCUGAUGUGCAGAAACUUAAGUCAAUUGCCCAAGGUCGCAUUGCUGGUAUCUCCAUUUGUUAUGCUUGGAAAGUGAGAAAGCAUUCAACUGGCAAAGGAAGUGAACAAAAACAAGAUCAAGAAUAAACAUGACUUAAUUAAAAUCAUAAUGAGGUAUCAUCUUACCCCAGUCAGAAUGUCUCUUAUUAAAAAAAAAAAAA
rnacentral:lncRNA from 1 species